rnacentral:rRNA from 1 species
UACAGAGGGGGCAAGCGUUAUUCGGAAUUAUUGGGCGUAAAGGGCGCGUAGGCGGUUUUUUAAGUCAGAUGUGUAAUCCCCGGGCUUAACCUGGGAACUGCAUCUGAGACUGGGAGGCUAGAGUACUGGAGAGGGUGGUGGAAUUCCUCGUGUAGCGGUGAAAUGCGUAGAGAUGAGGAGGAACACCAGUGGCGAAGGCGGCCACCUGGACAGUAACUGACGCUGAGGCGCGAAAGUGUGGGUAGCAAACAGGAUUAGAUACCCUGGUAGUCCACGCUGUAAACGAUGAACACUUGGUGUGGAGGGAGUUGACCCCUUCCGUGCCGGAGCUAACGCGUUAAGUGUUCCGCCUGGGGAGUACGGUCGCAAGGCUGAGACUCAAAGGAAUUGACGGGGGCCCGCACAAGCGGUGGAGCAUGUGGUUUAAUUCGACGCAACGCGAAGAACCUUACCUGGGCUUGAACUGCAUUGGACCGGUCUAGAGAUAGGCCUUUCAGCAAUGACUGAUGCAGAGGUGCUGCAUGGCUGUCGUCAGCUCGUGUCGUGAGAUGUUGGGUUAAGUCCCGCAACGAGCGCAACCCUUACCCGUAGUUGCCAGCGCGUCAAGGCGGGAACUCUACGGGGACUGCCCGGGUUAACCGGGAGGAAGGUGGGGAUGAUGUCAAGUCCUCAUGGCCCUUAUGUCCAGGGCUACACACGUGCUACAAUGGGCGAUACAAACCGUUGCAAAGUCGCGAGAUGGAGCUAAUCGGAGAAAGUCGUCCUCAGUUCGGAUUGCAGUCCGCAACUCGACUGCAUGAAGGUGGAAUCGCUAGUAAUCGUGUAUCAGAACGAUACGGUGAAUACGUUCCCGGGCCU